CCUACGGGAGGCUGCAGUGAGGAAUAUUGGUCAAUGGGCGCGAGCCUGAACCAGCCAAGUCGCGUGAAGGAAGAAUGUCCUAUGGUUUGUAAACUUCUUUUGUCGGGGACUAAAAGUAUCCACGUGUGGCGUUUUGAGUGUACCCGAAGAAUAAGCAUCGGCAAACUCCGUGCCAGCAGCCGCGGUAAUACGGAGGAUGCGAGCGUUAUCCGGAUUUAUUGGGUUAAAAGGGUUCGAGGGCGGAUGUUAACGUCAGCGUUAAAGUUGCGGGGCUAAACCCCGUACUGCCGUUGAAACUGGAUGACUUGAGUGCGCGAGAGGUAUGCGGAAUGCGUGGUGUAGCGGUGAAAUGCAUAGAUAUCACGCAGAACUCCGAUUGCGAAGGCAGCAUAC
rnacentral:rRNA from 1 species